CUCACAUAUAUUGCCAGCCCUCUCCCUGCCCAGAACUCUUGUGACUGGCCCUAAGGCAGAUCAGGUGUUUAUUCCAUAUCCUUGAUGACAAAGAAACUGUGAUCGUGUUCUGGGGAAUGUCCCUUUUCCCAUUCAAGUGUAUGAUCAUAUUUUCAAGCAAUCACGUUUACAUUCAGCCUGGAAACUUUCUGCCCAGUUCUUAAGUUCUACUGCCAGCAGCUUGGAUACUACAGAAUGCUGAUUUAGCUCAUAGGAUGCAUUGAACCACUUUGCCAUGGUAACCAGCAGACAGACCUGAGAGAAGCAAGGCUGCAGAGAAACUGUAGCCAUCACCAAACAACAAAUCAAAGGGAAGUGUCUCAGGAGAGAUUUCUAAUUAUCAUACAUUUGUCCUUGCAGCCAAACCAGGAUGCAGUGGAAAUGGUGCCUUUGGCACUAGCAUCUUAGGUCACAAAAUCAGUUGUCUUGAAAUUCUUACUAACUUUUGAACGUGGAACCCUACAUCUUCGUUUUGUACUGGUCCCCACAUAUUUUAUAGCUGAUCUGAAGGAGGAGAGAGAGAUGAUGGGGGAUGAAGGGUAUGGAAUUGUAUGCUAUGGCUGCCUGCUGUCGAAGUUCUCCAGGUCCAGAGAGGAUUUAAGUUGCUGGAAUAAUCCACCCAGUCUUCGAGAUGUGAUUAUAUAAUUGAUGGUAUGUGGAUAUCACUGAUCACAAAACACAAUAAAGGACCUAAGGCAACAUCUUUGUUCUUUCUCAAUGUGGGGAAAAUGUUUUUGUUCUACUUGGAUCGGUGGCUCACGCCUAUAAUCCCAGCACUUUGGGAGGCUGAGGCGGGCGUAUCACUUGAGGUCAGGAGUUCAAGACCAGCCUGGCCAACAUGAUGAAACUCCGUCUCUACUAAAAAUACAAACAUUAGUCGCGUGUGGUGGUGGGCACCUGUAAUCCCAGCCACUGGGGAGGCUGAGGCAGGAGAAUCACUUGAACCCGGGAGUUGGAGGUUGCAGCGAGCCGAGA
rnacentral:lncRNA from 1 species